AUUGAACGCUGGCGGCAUGCCUUACACAUGCAAGUCGAACGCUAACGGGCCUUCGGGUGCCGCCGAGUGGCGCACGGGUGAGUAAUACAUCGGAACGUGCCCGCUCGUGGGGGAUAACGAGGCGAAAGCUUUGCUAAUACCGCAUACGAUCUACGGAUGAAAGCAGGGGACCGCAAGGCCUUGCGCGGACGGAGCGGCCGAUGGCGGAUUAGGUAGUUGGUGGGAUAAAAGCUUACCAAGCCGACGAUCUGUAGCUGGUCUGAGAGGAUGAUCAGCCACACUGGGACUGAGACACGGCCCAGACUCCUACGGGAGGCAGCAGUGGGGAAUUUUGGACAAUGGGCGCAAGCCUGAUCCAGCCAUGCCGCGUGCAGGAUGAAGGCCUUCGGGUUGUAAACUGCUUUUGUACGGAACGAAAAGCCUUCUUUUAAUACAGGAGGGUCAUGACGGUACCGGAAGAAUAAGCACCGGCUAACUACGUG
rnacentral:rRNA from 1 species